rnacentral:rRNA from 1 species
GACGAACGCUGGCGGCGUGCCUAAUACAUGCAAGUCGAGCGAAGUUUUUCUGGUGCUUGCACUAGAAAAACUUAGCGGCGAACGGGUGAGUACACGUAAAGAACCUGCCUCAUAGACUGGGACAACUAUUGGAAACGAUAGCUAAUACCGGAUAACAGUAUUUCUCGCAUGAGAGAUAUUUAAAAGUUGGUUAUGCUAACACUAUGAGAUGGCUUUGCGGUGCAUUAGCUAGUUGGUGGGGUAAAGGCCCACCAAGGCGACGAUGCAUAGCCGACCUGAGAGGGUGAUCGGCCACACUGGGACUGAGACACGGCCCAGACUCCUACGGGAGGCAGCAGUAGGGAAUCUUCCGCAAUGGGCGAAAGCCUGACGGAGCAACGCCGCGUGAGUGAAGAAGGAUUUCGGUUCGUAAAGCUCUGUUGUUAGGGAAGAAUGGAUAUGUAGUAACUAUACAUGUAAGAGACGGUACCUAACCAGAAAGCCACGGCUAACUACGUG